AGAGUUUGAUCCUGGCUCAGGAUGAACGCUGGCGGCGUGCCUAACACAUGCAAGUCGAGCGAUCUCUUCGGAGAGAGCGGCGGACGGGUGAGUAACGCGUGGGUAACCUGCCCUGUACACACGGAUAACAUACCGAAAGGUAUACUAAUACGGGAUAAUAUAUGAAAGUCGCAUGGCUUUUGUAUCAAAGCUCCGGCGGUACAGGAUGGACCCGCGUCUGAUUAGCUAGUUGGUAAGGUAAUGGCUUACCAAGGCAACGAUCAGUAGCCGACCUGAGAGGGUGAUCGGCCACACUGGAACUGAGACACGGUCCAGACUCCUACGGGAGGCAGCAGUGGGGAAUAUUGCACAAUGGGCGAAAGCCUGAUGCAGCAACGCCGCGUGAGCGAUGAAGGCCUUCGGGUCGUAAAGCUCUGUCCUCAAGGAAGAUAAUGACGGUACUUGAGGAGGAAGCCCCGGCUAACUACGUGCCGGCAGCCGCGGUAAUACGUAGGGGGCUAGCGUUAUCCGGAAUUACUGGGCGUAAAGGGUGCGUAGGUGGUUUUUUAAGUCAGAAGUGAAAGGCUACGGCUCAACCGUAGUAAGCUUUUGAAACUAGAGAACUUGAGUGCAGGAGAGGAGAGUAGAAUUCCUAGUGUAGCGGUGAAAUGCGUAGAUAUUAGGAGGAAUACCAGUAGCGAAGGCGGCUCUCUGGACUGUAACUGACACUGAGGCACGAAAGCGUGGGGAGCAAACAGGAUUAGAUACCCUGGUAGUCCACGCCGUAAACGAUGAGUGCUAGCUGUAGGGAGCUAUAAGUUCUCUGUAGCGCAGCUAACGCAUUAAGCACUCCGCCUGGGGAGUACGACCGCAAGGUUGAAACUCAAAGGAAUUGACGGGGGCCCGCACAAGCGGUGGAGCAUGUGGUUUAAUUCGAAGCAACGCGAAGAACCUUACCAGGUCUUGACAUACUCGUGCUAUCCUUAGAGAUAAGGAGUUCCUUCGGGACACGGGAUACAGGUGGUGCAUGGUUGUCGUCAGCUCGUGUCGUGAGACGUUGGGUUAAGUCCCGCAACGAGCGCAACCCUUAUUACUAGUUGCCAUCAUUUAGUUGGGCACUCUAGCGAGACUGCCGGUGACAAACCGGAGGAAGGUGGGGAUGACGUCAAAUCAUCAUGCCCCUUAUGACCUGGGCUACACACGUGCUACAAUGGGAAGUACAACGAGUCGCUAGACCGCGAGGUCAUGCAAAUCUCUUAAAGCUUCUCUCAGUUCGGAUUGCAGGCUGCAACUCGCCUGCAUGAAGCCGGAAUCGCUAGUAAUCGCGGAUCAGCACGCCGCGGUGAAUACGUUCCCGGGCCUUGCACUCACCGCCCGUCA
rnacentral:rRNA from 1 species